UCGAAAGCUACUUCACCUGUUUAGCCCAAGUGUCAUGGAAGGGUAUGACUUACAUAUGGAAAAGCAAAGAAGCUGGUGAAAUGGAAGCUCAGAGACCAAAUAGAAGGUGAUGAGAGGAAAUAAAGUCAGAUACGUAAUGGGAAAGGGGAAAAAUUUUAUGGACCACUGAGAUAGAAUGUUGCCACAAGAUUCCAUUUUUCUACAAGGGUUUCAGAGGUCGAACGUGAAUGGCCAGGCAUGUGAACACUUGCCAGCUUGACAGUCCUUUGUUGGAAGCCAAGGAGUUAGAGGUUUAGGAUGAAAGCCUACUGAGGCAACAAAUGCUCAACGGAGAAGCACGUGAGAGUUAUGAGAGCUUUGUGGACUAAGCACUUUAUGAUUAUAAUCUCCAGAUGUGCACAUCGUGAAGCACUUCAAGAAGAGGGGACAUUUGAGGAGGACAUCAUUUCAACAAGAAGAAAUUUAAGACCAUCUCCCACUACCGUGUGUUUGAGCUGAUCUGCAUUUGUAGUCCAGACAGUCCUUUAAUUGAGAUCCUCCUGCCUC